GAGCCACCGCCCCCGACACACAUGUAUUAACAUUGGAACGAUACAGAGAAGAUUAGCAUGGGCCCUGCGCAAAGAUGACACUCAAAUUUGUGGCAUGUUCCAUAUAUUU